CAAAAAUGACAGUUUAACUCUUGUGUCUUCCAGCUCCAACACCUCAACUCCAGUCUAAGAGACAGACAUCAGACAAAUUCCAGAUAGACUUCAAUGAAAAAAACAAGUCUAAGAUUCUCAAAGCUGAACAUGAGCGCAUGUAACUUGUGAACAGAGUCUUCACUGUCUCACGGCUAAACACACUAGAGAUGAGAGACCUUGGAAGGCAGGCCACUGUGUAUUUGAAACCCCAAGUGUCACAUGAAAUGUUAGGGUUCAAGGAUGUCCAUUUUUUAGAAGACUGGAAGAGAACUCAGGCUUUUGUAGUUCAUAUCUCAAGAGUUUGGCCUCCUGCUAUCUUCUGGAGUUAUUCUUGAGGACUACAAAACCCAAAGGAGAAGAACUGACUUUAUCUAAGACCACUCAUGGAACAGUCCUAAUAAGCCAAGGCAAGCAGCAUCAGAAUGAAUCCUACCAGGCUGAGAUCUUGAUACUGCACUUCUCCAGAAAUAGAACAUAUUUCAGUUUUUUAAUGCUACCUUCUAUGACGUUUGGUUGUAUGGAAGGUUGAAUGUAGACAAUCUCCAAAAUAAAAUUCUUGAUAUUUAACUCCAA